GGUCAACAAUGGUGGAUUUUCAGUUGGGACUAUGAAAGGCUAAGCUCCUUCACCAUUGGUCGAGGAUUAGGUUACAAUUUGGCCUCUAACCCAUAAAUCAAAAGCUAGCUUGCAGCAGAGAUACUUUUAACAAAAGGUGGCCGCGCACCGUGGAGGGUUCUUAAAUAUUGAAGAUGACAAGCGCAUUCCUGGUGUUCUUCUAAUGUAUAACAGAGUGCCACCCUUUCUUUUUCUCCAAGCUCCGAUGCUGGCAUCAGGUUUGGCUGCUGGUCAGAAGGCCUCUGCAGAUAAAGACAAUUGCUCAAAUCCUGGCAAGAAACAUCAACCUACUGAUUUGGAUACUACCUAAACUUGAGCAAGUCCAUCUCUGCUUUUAACUACAAGCAACUCAUCCCAAUUAUCCUUGUACGAAGCAAAUCUGGUAUUCUUGCUUUUUGUUCAGAAGAUUGUUGCUGCUGCAAGCUCUCAACAGCUCAUUGUAGUUUGAGUUUACAGCAGGAAGGAAAAGGAGACUGAUGCUGCUGACCCACAAAUAAUUACUUGAGUGCUCAAGAUCAUUAGGUUGUCAAGAACACCAUUCUUGCACUUACGGCAUCUGAUUUGCUCCUGCAACAGCAUCUGACUUUGUUUACAGGGGCAUUUAUCCAAUUCUGCAAGAACUCAUUGCUUGUGGAGAUCCGUGACAAUUAACUUUUGUUUUGAUGUAAUCUUCCUAAAAGGUUGCUUCGCCGGCUCUUUCUUCU